rnacentral:rRNA from 1 species
CCUACGGGUGGCAGCAGUGGGGAAUAUUGGACAAUGGGCGAAAGCCUGAUCCAGCCAUGCCGCGUGUGUGAAGAAGGCCCUCGGGUUGUAAAGCACUUUCAGUGGGGAAGAAAGCCUUGGGGCUAAUACCCUCGAGGAAGGACAUCACCCACAGAAGAAGCACCGGCUAACUCCGUGCCAGCAGCCGCGGUAAUACGGAGGGUGCGAGCGUUAAUCGGAAUUACUGGGCGUAAAGCGCGCGUAGGCGGUCUGAUAAGCCGGUUGUGAAAGCCCCGGGCUCAACCUGGGAACGGCAUCCGGAACUGUCAGGCUAGAGUGCAGGAGAGGAAGGUAGAAUUCCCGGUGUAGCGGUGAAAUGCGUAGAGAUCGGGAGGAAUACCAGUGGCGAAGGCGGCCUUCUGGACUGACACUGACGCUGAGGUGCGAAAGCGUGGGUAGCAAACAGGAUUAGAUACCCUUGUAGUC